ensembl:ncRNA Uhg7 U snoRNA host gene 7
GUUCUACAUUUUAUAUGUAGAUUCUUUUCUAUAAACAAAGUAAUGCUAAGCUGACACGGUAGAGCGAGGAUGAACGUUUCAAAGUUGUCUGGGUUUAAUAAAACCACUCAAAAACUAAGUGUGGGUUUUCAAUGUGGGCUCAAUGGGUUCUGAGUUUCUUUCAGUUUUCUCUUUCAGAUUGGAUACUUCAGGUUUUAGCGCUCUAAAUUGGCUGUCUUUAAAUGGGAAGCUUAACUUGCUAAACGAAGAGUUUUCAAUCUGGCUCGUAUCUGGAUCCUUGGAUAUGAAAUUCUUCAAGUUGCGCCAUUGUUUCCCGAUUCUCUGGACUAACUUCUUAUAAGAAGUGGCCCGAUUAAUGGAUUAAUGAGUUAAUUCUUAAAGUACAUUUAAUUGAAAUAUAUAUAGAAAUAAAACAGAAUCC